GACGAACGCUGGCGGCGUGCUUAACACAUGCAAGUCGAACGGAAAGGCCCUGCUUUUGUGGGGUGCUCGAGUGGCGAACGGGUGAGUAACACGUGAGUAACCUGCCCUUGACUUUGGGAUAACUUCAGGAAACUGGGGCUAAUACCGGAUAGGAGCUCCUGCUGCAUGGCGGGGGUUGGAAAGUUUCGGCGGUUGGGGAUGGACUCGCGGCCUAUCAGCUUGUUGGUGGGGUAGUGGCUUACCAAGGCUUUGACGGGUAGCCGGCCUGAGAGGGUGACCGGCCACAUUGGGACUGAGAUACGGCCCAGACUCCUACGGGAGGCAGCAGUGGGGAAUAUUGCACAAUGGGCGGAAGCCUGAUGCAGCAACGCCGCGUGCGGGAUGACGGCCUUCGGGUUGUAAACCGCUUUCGCCUGUGACGAAGCGUGAGUGACGGUAAUGGGUAAAGAAGCACCGGCUAACUACGUG
rnacentral:rRNA from 1 species